CCUACGGGAGGCAGCAGUAGGGAAUCUUCCACAAUGGGCGAAAGCCUGAUGGAGCAAUGCCGCGUGGGUGAAGAAGGUCUUCGGAUUGUAAAACCCUGUUGUUAGAGAAGAAAGUGCGUGAGAGUAACUGUUCACGUUUUGACGGUAUCUAAACAGAAAGCCCCGGCUAACUACGUGCCAGCAGCCGCGGUAAUACGUAGGGGGCAAGCGUUAUCCGGAAUUAUUGGGCGUAAAGCGAACGCAGGCGGUUUUUUAAGUUUGAUGUGAAAGCCCCGGGCUUAACCGGGGAAGUGCAUUGGAAACUG
rnacentral:rRNA from 1 species